UAAAUCUAUAUGGCCCCUGGAUUGGACUGCGGCCGAUCAGGCUGUUGGUGAGGUAAUGGCCCACCAAACCUGUAACCGGUACGGGCUCUGAGAGGAGGAGCCCGGAGAUGGGCACUGAGACAAGGGCCCAGGCCCUAUGGGGCGCAGCAGGCGCGAAACCUCUGCAAUAGGCGAAAGCUUGACAGGGUUACUCUGAGUGAUUUCCGUUAAGGAGAUCUUUUGGCACCUCUAAAAAUGGUGCAGAAUAAGGGGUGGGCAAGUCUGGUGUCAGCCGCCGCGGUAAUACCAGCACCCCCCNANNNGNNGGGANNUUUNNUGGGCCUAAAGCAUCCGUAGCCGGUUCUACAAGUCUUCCGUUAAAUCCACCUGCUUAACAGAUGGGCUGCGGAAGAUACUAUAGAGCCAGGAGGCGGGAGAGGCAAGCGGUACUCGAUGGGUAGGGGUAAAAUCCGUUGAUCCAUUGAAGACCACCAGUGGCGAAGGCGGCUUGCCAGAACGCGCUCGACGGUGAGGGAUGNNNCUGGGGGAGCAAACCGGAUUAGAUACCCGGGUAGUCCCAGCUGUAAACGAUGCANACUCNGUGAUGAGUUGGCUUAUUGCUAACUCAGUGCCGCAGGGAAGCCGUUAAGUUUGCCGCCUGGGGAGUACGG
rnacentral:rRNA from 1 species